rnacentral:lncRNA from 1 species
AGGGCGGGGGCUCACCGGGCCGGUCCCCACGGUUCCAGCUAUUCCUGGGGCACGCGGAAGCCAGGUGCUGGAGGCGAGCACGUCACCUCUGUACGUUCGAGCGGAGAACCGCGGGUGUCAGUAGAGCCGGAUGAGCCGCAGCCCAAGCUUGUGCUCGGGCAGUGUUCUGGCUCGGCUGCUUACCAGGGUGUUUAAGUGCAAAAGUCCCCAAGGAUGUUCAGAUCCAUCUGCUGCUGCUGAUUCGUUAGUGGUGUCUGCUGAGUGGACUGGACUGCAGCUGCUGAUUCCUGCUGGUGUUUUGCUGGUGGACUGGAAUGCUGACAAUGAAGAUUAGAAUAGCCCCAAAGAACUACUUCUAAACAGGGUGAGCAUUUCACCACGAGCCACCACCAUGAUAUGCUGUUUACCUCAGGCCCAGAGACGUGGUCACAUGCAGAAAGGACACGUGAGCAUGUGUUUGUGUGACAGUCUUGGGAAAACAGAAUCUCCUGUAUCAUCUGAGAUCAUUUAACUUCUGAGAAGACAAGCUGUAUGCAUACCAAAAAUACCACCCGCAAGAUAUAAAUGCAAGACAGAAGUUACAAAAUCAACUUCUUCUCCCUCACUGCUCCUUGAGUCCUCCUCUGGGCACGGUGGGCCAGUAACAAGCAUAUUUAUUUAGCUGGCAACAUUUUUUUUUUACAAUACUACAGGGAGAAACUGAGUCUGUCACGUGUAUUCCUGGUCUCUCUGAGAACAGGUAGGAGGGAGUACACCCUCCCUCACUGCACUGGUAAUGCUUGCUUCAGAGGGUCCUUUCCACACACCCUGGCUGACACAGUGAGCAGGUGUCUAAACUUCUUACCUUGUAUCUUUUAAUCCUUUCUUUCAUCUUCAAAAAUAUGGAGCUUAAGUAUCCACAGUUUUCAUGUCAGUGAUAGCAAAGCCGGGCUGCUUUUGUAAGUGGUUUGAGGGCCUGUGAGAUGACUUAGACUAUAACAGUGCUUGUUAUGCCAGUCUGAUGAUCUGAGUUCCAUGUUCAGGUCCCACAGUGGAAGGCAGGGAAUGUGUUCUCUAGCCCCCAUGUGAUAGCUACACUCAUACACACAUCACAUACACACAAAUGAUGAUGGUCUGAUGUUGGUAGUGAUGAUAGUGUGGUGAUGAUGAUGGGUCUGGAGAGAUGACAGCGGUUAGGAAACUGUUCUUCCAGAUCCUAGGUUCUGUUCACAGCACCUAUAUCAGAUAGCCCAUAACCACCUGUAACUGUGGCUCCAAGGAAUUUGACACCUCUUCCCUCCAUGAACAUUUACAUGCAUAUAUGUACAUACCCAUUCACAGACACAUAUGCAUAUAUGUGUAUAUAUGCAUAUACAAACUCUGAACUUCUCAGUGGACAAACGUUUGGUUCACCAUGCCCCUUCUCCUCCUGGCCUGGUUUCCGUCUUGUGGUGAUGACUCCGUAUGUGCUAGUGAGCUUCACUGAGAAGCAAGUGUGUGCCAGUAUUUCCCUCAGGCACAGUGACUAAUCCUGAGAGGUGCUCAGCUAGAACCUGCUUCCAAUGCAUGGGUGACCACGAACUAAAUACAUAAUACUCCAGGCAAGCAUGAGUGCCUUCCUCUCUGCAGCUCCUUAGCCUCCCAGAACCACAAGAGGAGUUUUACACAGACCUCCGAGAUGCAUUGCUGUCAGGAUCUGAAGACAACAUUAGAAAACCAAAGAUGGUUUUCACUCUGUUUUUAUAAUAAUAAGAUGCUGUGUACAC